AGUGAACGCUGGCGGUAGGCCUAACACAUGCAAGUCGAACGGCAGCACAGUAAGAGCUUGCUCUUACGGGUGGCGAGUGGCGGACGGGUGAGGAAUACAUCGGAAUCUACUUUUUCGUGGGGGAUAACGUAGGGAAACUUACGCUAAUACCGCAUACGACCUACGGGUGAAAGCAGGGGAUCUUCGGACCUUGCGCGAUUGAAUGAGCCGAUGUCGGAUUAGCUAGUUGGCGGGGUAAAGGCCCACCAAGGCGACGAUCCGUAGCUGGUCUGAGAGGAUGAUCAACCACACUGGAACUGAGACACGGUCCAGACUCCUACGGGAGGCAGCAGUGGGGAAUAUUGGACAAUGGGCGCAAGCCUGAUCCAGCCAUACCGCGUGGGUGAAGAAGGCCUUCGGGUUGUAAAGCCCUUUUGUUGGGAAAGAAAAGCAGCAGGUUAAUACCCCGCUGUUCUGACGGUACCCAAAGAAUAAGCACCGGCUAACUUCGG
rnacentral:rRNA from 1 species